CAAGAAUUACUACUGUUUGGCGUUUGCUGAAAGAAGUACGUGAGAAUAUUAUAUGCUUUAGAAACCACAGAGUCGAAGCCUGUCAUCGUCCUCAUAGACCAAUGAGUAGCCACACGUACUUGUUUGGCAUUACCAAGUGUCCGGGCAAGGCCGCAGCCUGCAGCUCACCAGCCGUGCUGCUCGGCCUGUGCACGUCACCGGCUCUUCCCUAGGGUAGCUUUUGCUUGCUUUCUCCCACGUCCAUCCUCUCUCUCUCUGACUCACAGCCAGCCAGGUUUCUAGCCUUGUCAUUCCUAAACUACUGCCUCAAGCCAGGCGGGCGCACACAAACUAAAAUGCUAAUCUCCACAGCGGUGUCUGGACUAAUGGUGUCCCCCACCGUGGAAUGUAUGUGAGCUAAAGACAGGAUCUCAGCAGGCAGCCUGGACUGAGGUAGCUGUAGAAUUCAAGGUACACAGUCUCUUUUUCAUUAAACGACUUUUCUCUAAUUAUUUCAGGAAACAAAGUAAGAGUCAGACACUGGAGAAAUCUUAAGGAUUUAAGACGUUCUUGUUACACUCCACCAACCUCACGAGUUUCUAACACCCAGGAAGAUGAGGUCUAAAAACUGGAUGAAAAAGGACACCCUGAGAAAAGGUCCUAGCUGGAGUCAGUCCCCUCUGUGACCUCUCUCCUCAGGCCUCUAGAGGACAGAUGGCCAGGCCUGUGCACACACCAGCCCACCCUGAGAGACCCCUCUGGGACCAACCACCUGUGAGUCCUGCGAUGCGUUUAAGCAGCCUGUGCCCUCACCCAAGCUGCAGUUCCUGAAGGUGUAGUCUGUGUCUCUGCGGAUGAGAUGACAGCUCGCCAUUCCCCGGAAUCAGUGAGGCUGUCAGUCAGCCACGCUUCUGCAGUAUGCAGAAACCUGUUCUUAGACUCCAAAGCCAGAGAAAGAAUUCUCCCUUCGAGGCCCAACAAAUUGAGAAGGAACUGUGAUGGACCACUUCCAAAACAGAGACGGGGGCAGGGGCUGAAGGGCAGAGACCAGGUGAUGUCAGAAGGAAAGCCGGGUUGCAGACACAGCCGCCCCUGCUCUGGUCCUCCAGCGUGUUUAUGACGCUCGUGCAGGUCGACGAGCCAUCCUAUGGACUAGUUAACACUAAGGUGGAGUUCAGACUUUUUUAGACAACGGCGCGACUGGCAGCCUUUCUCUAUCAAGGGUCAGACGGUAAACGUUUUCAGCUUUGCAGACCAGAGGUCCCUGUGGCUACAGUAGCGCAGACACAGCCACAGGCAUGUCAUUGAAUGGCUGCGGCUAUGUUCCAAUAAAAACUUAUUUACAAUAACAGGUGGUGGCCAAAUUGGCCCAUGGGCCUUAUUUGGUGAACCCUGUUCUAUGAGAUCACCUAGGCUUCAGCCUUAAACAGUGGAAGCCAUCCCCUGAAUGACAAGUCACAAGGGUAUCAAAGAAAGACCCCUGAAUUUUCAUGGAAAAAGCUAUUCAGACCCCUGCUUGGAAAGCUAAGGCACACUGCCACGAAGCAGCAAGGACGCCUUACAAGUCUCAGUGCAACAGAGAUGGACACCUGGGCUGGGCUGGACAAUGUUUAAGGUUCCUUUUAGUCCAUGACUCAAGUGAUACUGUUUUAGGCUAUCAGGUAGUAAACACGAUCUUAGACAUCCCCAUCUUUGUAAGCAGAACAGUACGGCACUUCACCACAUCUGCUUCCCACCAUGCUUCUAAGCAGCUGUCUUCCCCCUGCUAAUGUUACAACCAAAGCAGCCACCCCACCUCCUCUCGUGUUGAGCCUCACGACCGCUGACCCAGCUGGAAAGCCAGCGCCCUGCCGCGUCACCCUGACUCUGCUCAGAGCCAGCAUUCCAGCCACAAAGAGGGCCUCCUUCCUUUCCUCUUUCAUAAAAAUGUUUUUUGAAGAGUUAGAGUAUAUUUUAGGCUUUUUAUCUUUAUUAAAAUUUCAUGUGC
rnacentral:lncRNA from 1 species